GAUGAACGCUGGCGGCAGGCUUAAUACAUGCCUUUCGAACGGUAAGGCCGAGUGUAGCAAUACACGAGGUACACGAGUGGCGCACGGGUGCGUAACGCGUAUGCAUCCUGCCCCUGACCGGGACAAAACAGCUGGAAACGGCUGCUAAUAUCCCAUGGUUACCGAGGAGGGCAUCCUCCUUUGUAUAAAGAUUUAUUGGUCGGGGAUGGGCAUGCGUAUUAUUAGGUAGUUGGUGGGGUAACGGCCCACCAAGCCGACGAUGAUUAGGGGUUCUGAGAGGAUUAACCCCCACACUGGAACUGAGACACGGUCCAGACUCCUACGGGAGGCAGCAGUAGGGAAUAUUGGGCAAUGGAGGCAACUCUGACCCAGCCAUGCCGCGUGAAGGAAGACGGCCCUAUGGGUUGUAAACUUCUUUUAUCGUGGAGUAAACCCGGUCACGUGUGGCCGGUUGAGAGUACACGAGGAAUAAGUAUCGGCUAACUCCGUGCCAGCAGCCGCGGUAAUACGGAGGAUACGAGCGUUAUCCGGAUUUAUUGGGUUUAAAGGGUGCGCAGGCGGAUCGGUAAGUCAGGGGUGAAAAGUUGGGGCUCAACUCCAAUCGUGCCUUUGAUACUGCCGGACUAGAGUGCGAUAGGCGUGGCUGGAAUGUGAUGUGUAGCGGUGAAAUACUUAGAUAUGUCACAGAACACCGAUCGAGAAGUCAGGUCACGAGCUCGCAACUGACGCUGAGGCUCGAAAGUGUGGGGAGCAAACAGGAUUAGAUACCCUAGUAGUCCACGCCGUAAACGAUGGUCACUAAGUGUCGGGGGUCAAACCCCGGUGCUGCAGUCAACGCAAUAAGUGACCCGCCUGAGUAGUACGUUCGCAAGAAUGAAACUCAAAGGAAUUGACGGGGGCCCGCACAAGCAGUGGAGUAUGUGGUUUAAUUCGAAGCAACGCGAAGAGCCUUACCAGGUCUUGACAUCGUAUACUAUCUGUAGAAGUACAGAGUUCUCUUCGGAGACGUACAGACAGGUGGUGCAUGGUUGUCGUCAGCUCGUGUCGUGAGGUGUUGGGUUAAGUCCCGCAACGAGCGCAACCCCUAUUUUCAGUUACCAUCGGGUAAUGCCGGGGACUCUGGAGAGACUGCCGUUAUAAAACGGAGGAAGGCGGGGAUGACGUCAAGUCAGCAUGGCCCUUACGUCCAGGGCUACACACGUGCUACAAUGGUCGGUACAAAGGGAAGCGAAGUCGCGAGGCGGAGCAAAUCUCAAAAAGCCGAUCCCAGUCCGGACUGCAGGCUGCAAUUCGCCUGCACGAAGUCGGAAUCACUAGUAACCGCAGGUCAGCUACACUGCGGUGA
rnacentral:rRNA from 1 species